ACACUGGGACUGAGAUACGGCCCAGACUCCUACGGGAGGCAGCAGUGGGGAAUAUUGGACAAUGGGCGAAAGCCUGAUCCAGCAAUGCCGCGUGUGUGAUGAAGGCCCUAGGGUUGUAAAGCACUGUCGGGAGGGACGAAUUGCUUGGUGUAACGACCAAGUUUGACGGUACCUCCAAAGGAAGCACCGGCUAACUCUGUGCCAGCAGCCGCGGUAAUACAGAGGGUGCAAGCGUUGUUCGGAAUCACUGGGCGUAAAGCGCGUGUAGGCGGCGUCGUAAGUCUAAUGUGAAAGCCCUCGGCUCAACCGAGGAAGUGCAUUAGAUACUGCGGCGCUCGAGUCCCGGAGGGGGUGGUGGAAUUCCAAGCGUAGAGGUGAAAUUCGUAGAUGUUUGGAGGAACACCGGUGGCGAAGGCGACCACCUGGACGGGUACUGACGCUGAGACGCGAAAGCGAGGGGAGCAAACAGGAUUAGAUACCCUGGUAGUCCACGCCGUAAACGAUGAGUGCUAGACGUUGCGGGUAUUGACCCCUGCGGUGUCAAAGCUAACGCAUUAAGCACUCCGCCUGGGGAGUACGGUCGCAAGAUUAAAACUCAAAGGAAUUGACGGGGGCCCGCACAAGCGGUGGAGCAUGUGGUUUAAUUCGACCACGCGCAGAACCUUACCUGGGUUUAAACUGCAGUAGACCGGUACAGAGAUGUACUUUCCCUUCGGGGCUGCUGUGGAGGUGCUGCAUGGCUGUCGUCAGCUCGUGUCGUGAGAUGUUGGGUUAAGUCCCGCAACGAGCGCAACCCUUGCCGAUAGUUGCCAGCGGUUCGGCCGGGCACUCUAUUGGGACUGCCGGUGUUAAACCGGAGGAAGGUGGGGAUGACGUCAAGUCCUCAUGGCCCUUAUGCCCAGGGCUACACACGUGCUACAAUGGGCAGUACAGAGGGACGCGAAGCCGCGAGGUGGAGCCAAUCUCAGAAAGCUGUCCUCAGUUCGGAUUGCAGUCUGCAACUCGACUGCAUGAAGUCGGAAUCGCUAGUAAUCGCGGAUCAGCACGCCGCGGUGAAUACGUUCCCGGGCCUUGUACACACCGCCCGUCACACCAUGGGAGUCAGUUAGUCCAGAAGCGCUUGAGCUAACCUUCGGGAGGCAGGGUGCCAAGGACUGGCUGGUAACUGGGGUGAAGUCGGAACAAGGUAGCCGUAGGGGACCUGCGGCUG
rnacentral:rRNA from 1 species